CAGUAGCCACGGUAAUACGAAGGGUGCAAGCGUUACUCGGAAUUACUGGGCGUAAAGCGUGCGUAGGUGGUGGUUUAAGUCCGUUGUGAAAGCCCUGGGCUCAACCUGGGAAUUGCAGUGGAUACUGGGUCACUAGAGUGUGGUAGAGGAUAGUGGAAUUUCCGGUGUAGCAGUGAAAUGCGUAGAGAUCGGAAGGAACAUCUGUGGCGAAGGCGACUAUCUGGGCCAACACUGACACUGAGGCACGAAAGCGUGGGGAACAAACAGGAUUAGAUACCCCGGUAGUCCCUGUCUCUUAUAA
rnacentral:rRNA from 1 species